AGAGACAGCAGCAGCCGCGGGAAUACAGAGGGUGCGAGCGUUAAUCGGAUUUACUGGGCGUAAAGCGUGCGUAGGCGGCUUCUUAAGUCGGAUGUGAAAUCCCUGAGCUUAACUUAGGAAUUGCAUUCGAUACUGGGAAGCUAGAGUAUGGGAGAGGAUGGUAGAAUUCCAGGUGUAGCGGUGAAAUGCGUAGAGAUCUGGAGGAAUACCGAUGGCGAAGGCAGCCAUCUGGCCUAAUACUGACGCUGAGGUACGAAAGCAUGGGGAGCAAACAGGAUUAGAUACCCCCGUAGUCCCUGUCUCUUAUAU
rnacentral:rRNA from 1 species